CCGGGGCUGCUGGCGCGGGGGAGGGCGCGGCAGGAGCGCGAGUUCGCGGCGGGCGCGUAGGUGCGGCCGCAGUCAGCGCAGCUCCUCCAGCUCCUCGGGGAGCUGGGGCGGGAGCGGGAGCGGACGGAGCUGCUGGGGCGGGCGGAGCCGCGGCAGCUGAGGGGGUAGCAGGCCGAGCAGAGGCUGCUCAUGCCGCAGCCGCCCCUGUUUCGCGGCAAGCAGACGGAGCCGCCGAAGGCCUUGUGGGCGCCGCAGAUACUCGAGCCCCUCCCACUCCCCGUUCCCGAGUACGACCUCGACCUGCUCUGCGUAAAGCUAAAGCCGUGGUUGAUGCUCGAGCUCACGUUCUGGCGCCUCGGGCUGGUCCGGUUCCUCCAGGAGCUCGCCGACGAGUGCCAGCGACCCCACGGCAUACUCAUGAGGGCCUCGUUAUUCAAGCGCACGAAGUACCGGCCCUUCGACGAAGGUACUGAUCUUUGGUUCUGAAGUUUUCACUGUCACGUCGCCUCGUUUCCAACGACUAGUACUACCGGUGGCUCCACAAGGUAACUGCUGCUGAACCUACCCCGGGCGACUAAGAGCCCUAUUUAAGAACUCGUUGAACAACGGGACAGCGAACUAUCGGACCGAUCGAAGACGACAAUACAAAACGCGACAACCAACAAUUAGAAGUCUGAACAAGAACAAGGGACCCACACCCUCCUACAGAGACGACACUACGCAACCAGGAAAAAUACCACGACUCAACUAUCGAGAAGUAUCAAACUAUAGGAAGGACACAAGCAAUCGGAGACACGAAGGCGUUUUUACGUAAACACAAUAGUUAAAGUCGUUACUUUAAUCCUCGUUCCGAGACAAAGAUUUUUUCUUUUCUUUUACUUUUCGGUGGCAGUC
rnacentral:rRNA from 1 species